GGUGUUAUAAUAGACUAAAUGAAAUUGGCUGGCAUUGCCUGGAUUAAACCUAAUUCAGAGUUUAUUAUUUGUUAUCUAGAUCCAAUUUCAAAAAAUUGCUUGUUGGUGCCUUCCAUUAGAAAGUUAUAUUUAAGUGUUUUCUUUGUUGAAUACCUUUUGGAUUCAGACCAAUGUCCUAGUUGUGCCUCUGAACUUCCUUAAAUUUUCUUAUUAGCGUUCACCAUUCAUUAUUGAACAAUAAAGUACUGUUAUUACUUUCCUUUCCUGAGGAUAUUUAGGACCUAAUAGCUUUUCUUGAUAUCAUGCAACUAUGAUAACGCUUUUAUAAUUUGAAGUAAUGAACAAUAUCAGCUGACAGUUGAUCUUUUUUAUUUGUAUUUUUA
rnacentral:misc_RNA from 1 species